GAACUGAAGAUUUGGUGAUUGAGUGGCGGACGGGUGAGUAACGCGUGGGUAACCUGCCCUGUACAGGGGGAUAACAGUCAGAAAUGACUGCUAAUACCGCAUAAGACCACAGCACCGCAUGGUGCAGGGGUAAAAACUCCGGUGGUACAGGAUGGACCCGCGUCUGAUUAGCUGGUUGGUGAGGUAACGGCUCACCAAGGCGACGAUCAGUAGCCGGCUUGAGAGAGUGAACGGCCACAUUGGGACUGAGACACGGCCCAAACUCCUACGGGAGGCAGCAGUGGGGAAUAUUGCACAAUGGGGGAAACCCUGAUGCAGCGACGCCGCGUGAGUGAAGAAGUAUCUCGGUAUGUAAAGCUCUAUCAGCAGGGAAGAAAAUGACGGUACCUGACUAAGAAGCCCCGGCUAACUACGUGCCAGCAGCCGCGGUAAUACGUAGGGGGCAAGCGUUAUCCGGAAUUACUGGGUGUAAAGGGUGCGUAGGUGGUAUGGCAAGUCAGAAGUGAAAAC
rnacentral:rRNA from 1 species